UAGGGAAUCUUCGGCAAUGGACGGAAGUCUGACCGAGCAACGCCGCGUGAGUGAAGAAGGUUUUCGGAUCGUAAAGCUCUGUUGUAAGAGAAGAACGAGUGUGAGAGUGGAAAGUUCACACUGUGACGGUAACUUACCAGAAAGGGACGGCUAACUACGUG
rnacentral:rRNA from 1 species